AUGGAGUCCAACCCAGACAGCCCGAGUCGGGCUGUGGAGUAUCUUCUGGAGCUCAAUAACAUCAUCGAGAACCAGGCCAAACUUCUAGAGACACAGCGUAAACGUAUCGAGGAGCUCCAAACGCAGCUAGACCGGGUCAACCAGGAGAACCAGGACCUGCGGCAGGACCGAAACCCGGGAACCGAGAACUCGACGCAGAACCACAACUACAACCAGAGCUCUAAGCCCAGCCAGCCGUCAUCACUACCAAACCACAGUGCUGGAGGUGUCCAUCAGAACAGCAGCAGUAAUAUACCCUCAUCCACGGUGCCUGGUCCAGCUCGACGGAAUCACAGCAGACUGACCCGAGGCCUGUCAUGUGGGUCAGCCCCUGUCGAGGAGAGAGGCCGACUGGAGCGAAAUGACAGCUCUGGGACCAACAACACCUCCACUCUACGGAAACACAGGAUGACCAUUAUUACAAAGUAUGACAUUUGAAUAGCUUUCUUACGUACAGACUAAUAUUCAAAUUCAACGUGCACUCAGUAAUUACCUUAUUUAUAUAUUAUUUAUUUAUUUUCAAUUAUUUUUUGAAA
rnacentral:lncRNA from 12 species